AAUGGGCGCAAGCCUGAUCCAGCCAUGCCGCGUGUGUGAUGAAGGCCCUAGGGUUGUAAAACACUUUCAGUGGGGAAGAUAAUGACGGUACCCACAGAAGAAGCUCCGGCUAACUCCGUGCCAGCAGCCGCGGUAAUACGGAGGGAGCUAGCGUUGUUCGGAAUUACUGGGCGUAAAGCGCACGUAGGCGGAUUUGUUAGUCAGAGGUGAAAUCCCGGGGCUCAACCUCGGAACUGCCUUUGAUACUGCAAGUCUAGAGACCGAGAGAGGUGAGUGGAAUUUCCAGUGUAGAGGUGAAAUUCGUAGAUAUUGGAAAGAACACCAGUGGCGAAGGCGGCUCACUGGCUCGGUACUGACGCUGAGGUGCGAAAGCGUGGGGAGCAAACUGGAUU
rnacentral:rRNA from 1 species